UACGGGGGGGGCAAGCGUUGUUCGGAAUUACUGGGCGUAAAGGGCGCGUAGGCGGUCAGCACAAGUCAGUUGUGAAAUCUCCGAGCUUAACUCGGAAAGGUCAACUGAUACUGUGCGACUAGAGUGCGGAAGGGGCAACUGGAAUUCUUGGUGUAGCGGUGAAAUGCGUAGAUAUCAAGAGGAACACCUGCGGCGAAGGCGGGUUGCUGGGCUGACACUGACGCUGAUGCGCGAAAGCCAGGGGAGCGAACGGG
rnacentral:rRNA from 1 species